GAUGAACGCUGGCGGCGUGCCUAAUACAUGCAAGUCGAGCGAACAGACGAGGAGCUUGCUCCUCUGACGUUAGCGGCGGACGGGUGAGUAACACGUGGAUAACCUACCUAUAAGACUGGGAUAACUUCGGGAAACCGGAGCUAAUACCGGAUAAUAUAUUGAACCGCAGGGUUCAAUAGUGAAAGACGGUUUUGCUGUCACUUAUAGAUGGAUCCGCGCCGCAUUAGCUAGUUGGUAAGGUAACGGCUUACCAAGGCAACGAUGCGUAGCCGACCUGAGAGGGUGAUCGGCCACACUGGAACUGAGACACGGUCCAGACUCCUACGGGAGGCAGCAGUAGGGAAUCUUCCGCAAUGGGCGAAAGCCUGACGGAGCCACGCCGCGUGAGUGAUGAAGGUCUUCGGAUCGUAAAACUCUGUUAUUAGGGAAGAACAAAUGUGUAGGUAACUAUGCACGUCUUGACGGUACCUAAUCAGAAAGCCACGGCUAACUACGUG
rnacentral:rRNA from 1 species